UGCCGUUGAUCAAAACUCAUCAAAACACACACAAGAAUAAAAGAACCAUUCUGGGAGAAGAAAGAACCGGUCUGCUCGUCACCAGCACCGUUCACCUGCAACUGCUAUAAAAAGUAUGUUCUGGGAUAUGAAAGAACUGUUUGGCACCUCUGUCGGCAUCAAUUGGUCAUCUUAGAUUUUCUUCUGAAGCGAAAGCGACAAGGCUAUGACAUAUAUGGUUGACAUGGAACCUCAAAAAUCAUACACGGCAAAACUCCACUGGUAUAGAAUCCAGUCCAGAAUGAAUUAAUUGCUCUUUUUUUUUUUUACCAUUCAUGAAUUCAUCCACUUAUUUCUUAUUUCUUUUUUUUGUCUGUUCUUUUUUUUCCUCGGAGUAUUUGUGUUUGGUAAGUUCUUCAUUAGUGUUACUCUUUGCUCAUGUGACACCUAUUAUUUUCAGUUGGAAUUUCAAUUGAAAACAUCUUGUAUCUUUGUGGACUUAAUAUUGCACAUAUUUACAAUCGAGAAUACGUGAAUGCUUUGAUAUGUGGACCUAAGAAAUGGUGGAAAGAACUUGGAAGAUUUUUGAGGCAGCCAAAUUUAAUUAUAUGGGACAAUGGUGACCUGGUAACUCAUGAGUCUUGGGUGGUCUCAAGAAUGUAUACGCCAUUGGAGCUGAUUCUCGGGGAAAUGAAGAACUAGAUUCCUGAGUUUCUUGUCCAUUUGAGAUCAAAGUAAUUCCCAGAGAAUUCUCAGUCCUUUAAAUUGAUAACUAGUUGGUGCCAUUGUGUUAGUCAAAAUUAGUAGUAAAGGAUAUAAAAUGAAAAUUGUUUCUUUGAAGCAUCACUUUGGGAGUUCUCUUCAAAAAAUGCUGCCAAAUUGGUAUUUGUGGUUUUCUUUUUAGUUUUGUUUUUAUGAAGUUUUGGUAUCUAUCGGUGGUUUUCUACUUUUCCCUUUUUUAAUAAUUAUCUGACACCAGGAAGCGAAUUGAUUUUGGUAGGCCAUAAAACUUAAUUGUUCAAUUUAGUCAAUAUAGUUAAAAAAAAAAAAAGAUAGAAAGGAAAAUAAAACUACUCCUAGUAAAUGUCCAUUUUCCUGAAAAGUGUGGUUAAUAAUGUUCUUUUGUCACUUCUUCUGUUCAAGAAACUUCUGUCAUAAGAUCAAUCUGGACAUCAAGUUGGGAUGGAGCAAGUAGUGAGAUUGGAGCUGUUGUCUGAGUGUAAAAUGAUUUUUCCUCCUUUUCUCUUGUGUAGCAAUAACCUAUAAUUAAUUGAUGGAAGGAUUCGAAUGUUCUCUUUCACACAUUAAAAACAUCUGAGAUGACUUGAUAUGGGUUUAUUGUUUGUGAACUGAGUAAAUAUAUUAAUAUUAAAAGGAGUUUCUAAAAACUAAAAUAAAAUAAAAGAUAAGUAGCUUCUAGCCUUACGCGCAAGUUGGCCCGGACACCAGCGUCAUAAAAGAAAAAGUAGCUUCUAGCCUUCCACCAGACUCCCGCCAAACUAACUUUGCGGAAACUCUAAAAUGUUUUAUGGUCUUAGCAUGCAUGUAAGACUGAAUGUUGUCCUGAUUAUACUGAUGUUUAGUUAUAAUAAUUAUGAUUAUUAUUGGUAUUGUUGGUGCUGUUGCUAGUGUGCGUGUUGAUGCUUGUAUAGUUGCCUUGUUCAACUUUUGUACUUAUUUAAUUAGAUGAUUUGGAAAAUACUACAGACUUAGACGAAAUUAGCCUCGCUGAAAUAAGCAUUCUAUUUGUUCUGUUUCACUUAAAAGCACUUGCUUCAUGCUUAGUUACAUCUCUGUAUGAGAUAUUUUCUGUGGUCAUUAGUGACAUUCAGUUCCUAGUCCUAAUAAGGGACUGUUUCUUACUUCUUUCUCAACUCAUUCAUGCAACGAAUCUUGAUCAGCUCUUUACUUAGUUGAAAGAUGAUAAUGUUUGUCAGUUUAAUUCAUGAGUUGUUGAUCUUUUGUCUCAACAAGGGAAGGAUUCAGCUCCAUAUUUGGAAACAUUGUAUGUCAAGUAAGCUGUAAUUCUGAAAACAGUAGGAACAGUGAUUCCAUAAAUAAUCAGACUCAUGCACAUCCUUCAAAAGAAGUCCAGAAUGAAAAUGGUGAACAAAUGCAGUCUAGGGAGCUGGAGAGCAAUGUUCAUCAGUUGACUAAUUGCCGUAAGAAUUCUGGCCAGAGUACGAAUAAACAAUCGUCUCCAACCGAGGAAGGGAUCGAGUGGAAGCUGAGGGUUAGUUCUAACAAAAAGCAAGUUAGUAUGUCAUGCUUUGCUGAUUUCUUUUGGUACAGUCACUAUUUCCCGGCCUAUGACUCAAGUGCCACGCUGAUGAUGUUGACAGUUUUGAAGAUGCAGAAAAAAAAAAGUUUUGACGUCGCUUAUAAGGGCAAAGCAUGGAAGAUGAAGUGACUGGAUGUAGCUUGUUUGUCACUUGCUGCUAAAACGGAAGAAAUUGAAGUUAGUGGGAAUGAUCAUGUCCAGUAUGCUUGUUCUUGUUAGGGAUUGUUUGAAGUUUACAUUUGUACAUGCUACAAUAGAGUUAGGAACUGACAGAUUGGGAUGCUUUAUUUCUUUUGUAAUUAACUAUCAAUUUUAUAUAGAAAUUGAUUAUUUUAUAAAUUUUUGGAUAUAUUAUAUCUGA